AGUGAACGCUGGCGGUAGGCCUAACACAUGCAAGUCGAACGGCAGCACAGUAAGAGCUUGCUCUUACGGGUGGCGAGUGGCGGACGGGUGAGGAAUACAUCGGAAUCUACUUUUUCGUGGGGGAUAACGUAGGGAAACUUACGCUAAUACCGCAUACGACCUACGGGUGAAAGCAGGGGAUCUUCGGACCUUGCGCGAUUGAAUGAGCCGAUGUCGGAUUAGCUAGUUGGCGGGGUAAAGGCCCACCAAGGCGACGAUCCGUAGCUGGUCUGAGAGGAUGAUCAGCCACACUGGAACUGAGACACGGUCCAGACUCCUACGGGAGGCAGCAGUGGGGAAUAUUGGACAAUGGGCGCAAGCCUGAUCCAGCCAUACCGCGUGGGUGAAGAAAGCCUUCGGGUUGUAAAGCCCUUUUGUUGGGAAAGAAAAGCAGCAGGUUAAUACCCCGCUGCUCUGACGGUACCCAAAGAAUAAGCACCGGCUAACUUCGUG
rnacentral:rRNA from 1 species